rnacentral:rRNA from 1 species
GACGAACGCUGGCGGCGUGCUUAACACAUGCAAGUCGAACGAUGAAGGAGAGCUUGCUCUCCGGAUUAGUGGCGAACGGGUGAGUAACACGUGACUAACCUGCCCCUUUCUCUGGGAUAACGCUCCGAAAGGAGUGCUAAUACCGGAUACGAACUCUGAAAACAUGUUCGGAGUUGGAAAGUUUGUCGGAAAGGGAUGGAGUCGCGGCCUAUCCGCUUGUUGGUGAGGUAACGGCCCACCAAGGCGACGACGGGUAGGCGGCCUGAGAGGGCGACCGGCCACACUGGGACUGAGACACGGCCCAGACUCCUACGGGAGGCAGCAGUGGGGAAUAUUGCACAAUGGGCGAAAGCCUGAUGCAGCGACGCCGCGUGAGGGAUGAAGGUCUUCGGAUUGUAAACCUCUUUCAGUAGGGACGAAGCGAAAGUGACGGUACCUAAAGAAGAAGCACCGGCUAACUACGUGCCAGCCGCCGCCGUAA